rnacentral:snRNA from 1 species
GUGCUGGCUUUGGCAACACAUGUAGUAAAUUUGGAAUGACACAAAGAUUAGCAGGGGAGCAUGGUUCCCACAUAAGGAUGACACACAAAUUCGUGAACCAUUCCAUUAAAAA